GGGCCCGCACAAGCGGUGGAGCAUGUGGUUUAAUUCGAUGCAACGCGAAGAACCUUACCAGGCCUUGACAUCCUGCGAACUUUCUAGAGAUAGAUUGGUGCCUUCGGGAGCGCAGUGACAGGUGCUGCAUGGCCGUCGUCAGCUCGUGUCGUGAGAUGUUGGGUUAAGUCCCGUAACGAGCGCAACCCUUGUCCUUAGUUGCCAGCACAUAAUGGUGGGAACUCUAGGGAGACUGCCGGUGACAAACCGGAGGAAGGUGGGGACGACGUCAGGUCAUCAUGGCCCUUACGGCCUGGGCUACACACGUGCUACAAUGGGCGGUACAGAGGGCAGCGAAGUCGCGAGGACAAGCAAAUCCCAUAAACCGUUCGUAGUCCGGAUUGGAGUCUGCAACUCGACUCCAUGAAGUCGGAAUCGCUAGUAAUCG
rnacentral:rRNA from 1 species